CGCCCAAAUACACCUAAAACCCUACUUAAUUUAGCAGAACGCGACGCCAUUGCCUCCUCUCUCUCUCCCGUCUUGCCCCGAUUCAACAGCAAAGAUGGUUCUCUCGAACGACUACGAUUUGUUGAACCCACCGGCGGAGCUUGAGAAAAGGAAGCACAAGCUUAAGCGCCUUGUGCAAUCUCCUAACUCUUUCUUCAUGGAUGUCAAGUGCCAGGGUUGCUUCAAUAUGUAAGUUGCAUCGGAUUUUGUAAACUGGAUAAUUGGAUUUGUGAAAUUGUGAAUCAAGUUUGUUGAAUUAUUUGUGAGA